CGAACCGACUUACGUUGAAAAGUGAGCGGAUGAACUGAGGGUAGCGGAGAAAUUCCAAUCGAACCUGGAGAUAGCUGGUUCUCUCCGAAAUAGCUUUAGGGCUAGCCUCAAGUGAUGAUUAUUGGAGGUAGAGCACUGUUUGGACGAGGGGCCCCUCUCGGGUUACCGAAUUCAGACAAACUCCGAAUGCCAAUUAAUUUAACUUGGGAGUCAGAACAUGGGUGAUAAGGUCCGUGUUCGAAAGGGAAACAGCCCAGACCACCAGCUAAGGUCCCAAAAUAUAUGUUAAGUGGAAAAGGAUGUGGCGUUGCCCAGACAACUAGGAUGUUGGCUUAGAAGCAGCCAUCAUUUAAAGAGUGCGUAAUAGCUCACUAGUCGAGUGACACUGCGCCGAAAAUGUACCGGGGCUAAACAUAUUACCGAAGCUGUGGAUUGUCCUUUGGACAAUGGUAGGAGAGCGUUCUAAGGGCGUUGAAGCAUGAUCGUAAGGACAUGUGGAGCGCUUAGAAGUGAGAAUGCCGGUGUGAGUAGCGAAAGACGGGUGAGAAUCCCGUCCACCGAUUGACUAAGGUUUCCAGAGGAAGGCUCGUCCGCUCUGGGUUAGUCGGGUCCUAAGCUGAGGCCGACAGGCGUAGGCGAUGGAUAACAGGUUGAUAUUCCUGUACCACCUAUA
rnacentral:rRNA from 1 species